AGUGGCGGACGGGUGAGUAACACGUGGGAACGUGCCUUUAGGUUCGGAAUAAGCCCGGGAAACUGGGUCUAAUACCGGAUGUGCCCUUCGGGGGAAAGAUUUAUCGCCUUUAGAGCGGCCCGCGUCUGAUUAGCUAGUUGGUGGUGUAAUGGACCACCAAGGCGACGAUCAGUAGCUGGUCUGAGAGGAUGAUCAGCCACAUUGGGACUGAGACACGGCCCAAACUCCUACGGGAGGCAGCAGUGGGGAAUCUUGCGCAAUGGGCGAAAGCCUGACGCAGCCAUGCCGCGUGAAUGAUGAAGGUCUUAGGAUUGUAAAAUUCUUUCACCGGGGACGAUAAUGACGGUACCCGGAGAAGAAGCCCCGGCUAACUUCGUGCCAGCAGCCGCGGUAAUACGAAGGGGGCUAGCGUUGCUCGGAAUUACUGGGCGUAAAGGGAGCGUAGGCUGACAUUUAAGUCAGGGGUGAAAUCCCGGGGCUCAACCUCGGAACUGCCUUUGAUACUGGGUGUCUUGAGUGCGAUAGAGGUAUGUGGAACUCCGAGUGUAGAGGUGAAAUUCGUAGAUAUUCGGAAGAACACCAGUGGCGAAGGCGACAUACUGGAUCAUUACUGACGCUGAGGCUCGAAAGCGUGGGGAGCAAACAGGAUUAGAUACCCUGGUAGUCCACGCCGUAAACGAUGAUUGCUAGUUGUCGGGG
rnacentral:rRNA from 1 species